GAGAGCCCGGUGCCGGGAAACUGGCACGCCGGGUUCGGGCGAGCGGUCAGGGGAAACGACCAGCGGAAAUGCUGGAACCGCGCCUCUGGCCGACUCGCAC
rnacentral:ncRNA from 1 species